rnacentral:rRNA from 1 species
AUAAACGCUGGCGGCGCACAUAAGACAUGCAAGUUGAACGGACUUAAUCGAAAUAUUUAUAUUUUGAAGCGGUUAGUGGCGGACUGGUGAGUAACGCGUAAGGAACCUGCCUAUUAGAGGGGAAUAACAGUGAGAAAUCAUUGCUAAUACCGCAUAUGCCAUAGAUAUCACAUGAUAACAGUGGGAAGGAGCAAUCCGCUAAUAGAUGGCCUUGCGUCUGAUUAGAUAGUUGGUGGGGUAACGGCCUACCAAGUCGACGAUCAGUAGCCGGACUGAGAGGUUGAACGGCCACAUUGGGACUGAGAUACGGCCCAGACUCCUACGGGAGGCAGCAGUCGGGAAUAUUGCGCAAUGGAGGAAACUCUGACGCAGUGACGCCGCGUAUAGGAAGAAGGUUUUCGGAUUGUAAACUAUUGUCGUUAGGGAAGAGAAAGGACAGUACCUAAGGAGGAAGCUCCGGCUAACUACGUG